rnacentral:rRNA from 1 species
GCCAGACUCCUACGGGAGGCAGCAGUGGGGGAUAUUGCACAAUGGGGGGAACCCUGAUGCAGCGACGCCGCGUGGGUGAAGGAGCGUUUCGGCGCGUAAAGCCCUAUCGGCAGGGAAGAAGGAGGACGGUACCUGACUAAGAAGCCCCGGCUAACUACGUGCCAGCAGCCGCGGUAAUACGUAGGGGGCAAGCGUUAUCCGGAUUUACUGGGUGUAAAGGGGGCGCAGACGGCAGCGCAAGCCAGGAGUGAAAGCCCGGGGCCCAACCCCGGGACUGCUCUUGGAACUGCGCGGCUGGAGUGCAGGAGGGGCAGGCGGAAUUCCUGGUGUAGCGGUGAAAUGCGUAGAUAUUAGGAGGAACACCAGUGGCGAAGGCGGCCUGCUGGACAUUAACUGACGCUGAGGCGCGAAAGCGUGGGGAGCAAACAGGAUUAGAUACCCGCGUAC